GACGAACGCUGGCGGCGUGCUUAACACAUGCAAGUCGAACGGUGAAGCGCCUUCCUUUUUGGUGGGUGUGGAUGAGUGGCGAACGGGUGAGUAACACGUUAGUAACCUGCCCCCUCCUUCUGGAUAACCGCAUGAAAGUGUUGCUAAUACGGGAUAUUCUGGAUCUGUCGCAUGAUGGGUCUGGGAAAGAUAUUGUUUCGGUGGGGGAUGGGCUCGCGGCUUAUCAGCUUGUUGGUGGGGUGAUGGCCUACCAAGGCGGUGACGGGUAGCCGGCCUGAGAGGGUGGGCGGCACCACAGGGGAGGAGACGCGGAGAAGACUCCGACGGGCGGCAGUAGGGAGUAUUACGGCACGAGGGGCGGAAGGAUGAAGCAACGCCGCGGCGGGGAGGAAGGAGGUCGUCGGGUAGUGAACCGCUUUCGGCAGUGAAGCAGGGCUGCCUUGUUUGUGGGUGUGUUGACGGUAGCUGGAGAAGAAGCGCCGGCUAACUACGUG
rnacentral:rRNA from 1 species